UUCAACUGUGACAUCACAGAAAGGGAUGCCAUGAUAAGAGCAUUGGAAGGUUGUGUGACAUCUGCUGUAUACAGUGAGCUAUCUGGUUACAGAGUGAAUUCCUGAGCAACCUGUUACCAUCAUAAUACAAUUGAUGUUAACAGUGCACACACAAGUGUCACUGGGAAAACUCAUCCUUUGAUGUUACAACACAGUAACUUGUAGCAGAGGGCUGAGUCACAGCACUGAAAAUUCCUCACUUCAGGAAGAAGGAAAUCCUUCAUAUAGAAAAUGAGUUUUUUUGCUUCCUCCAGAACUUUCUUGAGAAGAGCCACAGCUUCCUGGAUCUUAAUCUGUGAAGAAAACACACCAUUAUAGUUGUAGUGGGGAGAGGUUUGAUAGCAUUGUUCCAGAACACCAUUUUGCAGGAAAAUUCAACUUCAUGUCAAGUUGUAACUUCUGCAUGUCAAGUUUUUUUCAGACACAAGGAAAAAGACAUCCUAUAACCUCUGAGCCAAAACUGAAUCCUCAACAUGUUUCAAACCACAAGUAUUUGUGAAAUUGCUUAAUCGCUGGGCAAACCAACAAAAAAAAGUUACUGUGCUGAUGAA